UACGUAGGGCGCAAGCGUUUAUCCGGAAUUAUUGGGCGUAAAGAGCUCGUAGGCGGUUUGUCGCGUCUGCCGUGAAAGUCCGGGGCUCAACUCCGGAUCUGCGGUGGGUACGGGCAGACUAGAGUGAUGUAGGGGAGACUGGAAUUCCUGGUGUAGCGGUGAAAUGCGCAGAUAUCAGGAGGAACACCGGUGGCGAAGGCGGGUCUCUGGGCAGUAACUGACGCUGAGGAGCGAAAGCGUGGGGAGCGAACAGG
rnacentral:rRNA from 1 species